rnacentral:rRNA from 1 species
GAUGAACGCUAGCUACAGGCUUAACACAUGCAAGUCGAGGGGUAACGAGAGGAAAGCUUGCUUUCCUUGUCGACGACCGGCGCACGGGUGAGUAACGCGUAUCCAACCUGCCCCCAACUAGGGAAUAACCUUGCGAAAGUAAGACUAAUACCCUAUAAUUUCCUCAGAUGACAUCUGACGAGGAAUAAAGAUUUAUCGGUUGUGGAUGGGGAUGCGUCUGAUUAGCUUGUUGGCGGGGUAACGGCCCACCAAGGCAACGAUCAGGAGGGGUGCUGAGAGGAAGGUCCCCCACAUUGGAACUGAGACACGGUCCAAACUCCUACGGGAGGCAGCAGUGAGGAAUAUUGGUCAAUGGGCGGAAGCCUGAACCAGCCAAGUAGCGUGCAGGAUGACGGCCCUAUGGGUUGUAAACUGCUUUUAUACAGGAAUAAAGUUAGCCACGUGUGGUUAUUUGUAGGUACUGUAUGAAUAAGGACCGGCUAAUUCCGUGCCAGCCGCCGCAGUAA